CGUUUUCAGAGAUCAUUAACGCGAUUAGCGAGCCUGUUUUGAUAAUCAGAGACGUGAUAAUGAUUUAAGUCCUGCGUGAAAUUGGCGACAAUAUUAACCUGAAUUACCGCGAUAUAUUAUAGAUUCUGUGAAACCAAUACAAUUUGUAAGACGACGAAAUUCACAAUUUGUUAAUUGAAGACUUCUUGUAGACGGCACUAGAUAAUGUUAAACGUACCGGUGGCAUCACUUUUUAACGCUAUUGGGAAUUGUUUACGAAUGGAAAUUUCUCUUAAAUUGUAUACUACAGUAUUCCAGUUGAGACGACGUCGUAACACGAAUAUUCUUGUAUUAUUAACUGUUUAGAAAGGAAAAUUGCACUUUAAUUCUGCAUUA
rnacentral:misc_RNA from 1 species